CGACCACCAACUGCAACGCCGCUAUGGAGGGCUGGACGUGAGGCUACGACGGCAAAGGGGUAGGGAAUGGAGGUGAGGCAGUGGCAAACGAUUAUGAUGAGGUGCUCGAGAGAGAGCAAAGAUCAAGAGGUAGAGACUAAGUAAGGGAGAGGAGAAGACGACUGCUAGAGUUUUUGGGUUGUUACUUUACUGAGGUUGCUUUUUCAGUUUUAGGAAGAAGAGCGAGGAGAGGAG
rnacentral:lncRNA from 1 species